AACGGAGGGAACGAGCGAUACCCUGGCUUAACUGGGCGUUAAAGCGUUAUGGGCAGUAAUGGUUUAAGUGAUUGGUGGAAGUGAAGUACUCAAAUUACAAGAAAAUAUACAUUACUAAGAGGAUGAAAGAAGAUUGCGGUACUCUCUAAUUUUAGGGGUGACAUCACUGACACAUUCGACGGGGACCAUCAAGGGGUGAUUGCGGCUUUCUUGUUUCAUUUUAAUAUAGACCUGACGCUUAAAAACGAAAGUGUGGGGAGCGAACAGG
rnacentral:rRNA from 1 species